AUACGUAGGUGGCAAGCGUUGUCCGGAAUUAUUGGGCGUAAAGCGCAUGUAGGCGGUGCCUUAAGUCUGUCGUGAAACUGCGGGGCCUAACCCCGUAUGGCGAUGGAAACUGUGGCACUUGAGUGCAGGAGAGGAAAGGGGAACUCCCAGUGUAGCGGUGAAAUGCGUAGAUAUUGGGAAGAACACCGGUGGCGAAGGCGCCUUUCUGGACUGUGUCUGACGCUGAGGUGCGAAAGCCAGGGUAGCGAACGGGAUUAGAUACCCCGGUAGUCCUGGCCGUAAACGAUGGGUACUAGGUGUGGGAGGUAUCGACCCCUUCCGUGCCGGAGUUAACGCAAUAAGUCCCCCGCCUGGGGAGUACGGCCGCAAGGCUUAAACUCAAAGGAAUUGACGGGG
rnacentral:rRNA from 1 species